AAGAGAUUGAAAAAACAUGAGGGGCAAGUUUUUUUUUACACUGUGUGGUUCGCGUGUGGAAUAAACAUCCUGAGGAAGUGUUGGAUAUGGGUGAAAUGACAACGUUAUAGAGACAUUUGGAUAGCUACAUGAAUAGGAAAGGUUUAGAGGCUAAUGGGCUGGCAGGUGGGACUAGUUUAGGUUGGGAUUAUGGUCAGCAUGGGCUGGUUGGACCGAAGGGUCUGUUUCCACGCUGUAUGAGCUUCACAGGAUUUCUCAGCUGUUCAGAGAGAAAUGUUCAGGGUGUGAAUCCAGAAUCCGGAGUGGAAGGCUUUGGGUAAAGCUGAUAUUGACAGGGUGUUUCCCCGUGCUGUGGGGGGAAUUGAGAACAAGGGCAGAUGGUUACAAGUUAGGAGUCUCUUUUCAGAAUGGAGCAGUGGAGCAAUUUCUUCUCUGGAUGGUCGUUAGUGUUUGGAAUUCUCUGCUGAUGUGUUUCACCGGCUUCCUUACCAGUACCUGUUUGUGAGUGACACUGCAAAAUCAGCUUGAAAGCUCUUUCCAGGAAGUUGGGUUUGUUCAAACAGACUGGGACAGUGUAGGAGCUGCCAGGCAGAAACGUUCCUGCAGUACUGAGUUCACUCAGAACUGUGGCUUGGUUCAGCGAGUAAGAUGACAAAAGGUCAUCCAGCACAGAAGAGGCCUUUCCGCCCAUCGAGUCUGCACUAAUUUCAUUUUCCACAGCCUUGAAUGUUACGAUGCUUGAAACGCUGAUCCGAAUACUUAUGGCAGGUUGUGAAGUUUCCCGCCUCAGCUACCCUCCCAGCAGGUCAGCACUGAAACACCAGGCAGCCGGAAGCUCGGGUCACCAUGCGGAAGAAUGUCGUGGUAAACCUAGUCUGUGAAGUGGCACUAAGAUUACUCCUGUUUGCAAUAUUCCUGAUGACUGAGACGAUGACUCCAUUCCACCGGAUUAUCCACCCGGAGGAAAUGUGGCUGUACAAGAAUCCCCGGAGCGAGCGGGAUACUGUUCCCACCUGGCACAUGUUUGCCAUUUCCUUCCUGACUCCGUUGAUGGUGAUUCUCCUGAUGAAGGUGCUGAAUCGAUCAGAAAACGGGGAUGUGAAGGAAGGCUGUUUGGCUGCUUCUCUGGGCCUGGUUCUGAAUGGAGUGAUUACAAACACCUUGAAACUUGUGAUUGGAAGGCCUCGUCCGGAUUAUUUCUACCGCUGUUUUCCGGAUGGAGUGGUUACAGAGGACAUGCAGUGCACCGGUGAUCCCGGCUCUGUCCUGGAGGGCCGGAAAAGCUUUCCCAGCGGCCACUCCUCCUUUGCCUUUGCUGGCCUGGGUUUCACCACCUUCUACCUGGGAGGAAAGCUGCACUGCUUCACCUCGAGGGGCCACGGGAAAGGCUGGCGGCUCUGUGUAAUGAUGAUGCCGGUCUACAUCGCAGCUAUGAUUGCUCUGUCACGCGCCUGUGACUACAGGCACCAUUGGCAAGAUGUGGUGGCUGGCUCUCUGAUCGGACUGACCAUGGCCUAUACCAGCUACCGGCAGCAUUACCCAUCCCUCUCUGACCCCGACUGCCACAAACCAUACCCCAAGACCAAGCUGUCGAUAGCGCAGGAGCGGAAGCUGUCCAAUCCUACCUUCAAACUAGACGUUUAGAGAGCCAAUGUUUCGGCGAAGUGGACCAGGAAACACGAACCCUCUCCUCGCCAUCCCGCGUCCUAAAACCCAAGGUACAGCCAUCCUCUGAGCCAAACCCGGACAGCUACCACACUUAGCCACAUCCUUUCACAACAGCUUUAUGGACAGAAUUUUCGUAGGCGUAUGAACCCAUCACUGGUGGCACUCGUUCCGGUGAAACACUCCCUCACUCUGUCACCGAGUGUGGAGUUGGGGACCAUACACACUGAGGUGCGGAAUGGUUUAUCCUAUCAGUGUUGACAUGGUUAUGUCAGGGAGAUGCGCUCUAGUUUGCCCUCUUUCGUGUUGUGUGAGGCAUUGGUCAUGUUGCUUCCUGUGGUGAAACCCAUCAGAUUCUGUCUCUCUGUUAGAACCCAAGGAUUGGUUUUGGGAUUCUUCAGUAAGCACACCUGACCAUUCCACCCUUGCUUACUGUAGAUGGGACCAUGAAUGCAGAGCCUCUCCCUGAUCUGACUGCUUGCCUCUGCUGUGGGUAUGGAGUUGAGUGGCGUCAUGCAUAUUGUACAGAGUUUUUUGAGGUGGGGGGGUGUGGGGAACAGUUCUCGCUGGGAUGGUGGUGUUAAUGUGUGACCAUGCUGGAUCCAAUGGCUGGAGACGGACCUGUUGACAUUCCAUGUUCUGUGGGAUGUUUGGCACUCUGCUGUGCCAUGAGUAGGGAGGGACUUGAGUUUGCCGUGGAGUGCCCGAAGUCCGUUUCAAUUUGGAAGGACAGGUUGGAGGGGUGGGUGGGGAGGGGGCUUGGAUGUGACCACCCCCAGCCCCUGGACAGCCAGGUCCAGUUGUCUCAAAUCUGUGGACUUGGUUCAGUGCAGUAGCAGUGACUGGCACUCACAGAGACAUGCACACAUCUCUUCCCCCCCACCACCCCACAAACCUGUACCAUUUCCCACAAACUGACUGUCCUGCUGGGAUCUAUUGUUGACCGUCUUGUCAAUCGCACCCAUCUCGAGCACAGAUUCCAUCAGAUCUGGAGCCCGGUGGCUAUCUGGCUGAUGGUCUGCUCCCUGCACUGUGGGCUGAAAUGGUUCACUUUGAUCCCUGGCUGCCCAUCUGGUGGUUCUCAAAUAGCAGUCGUUUCUAGCUGCAGGAUAAAUAAUCUCAAGUGUUGUGGCAUUUCCAGUCCUGCUUUGUACAGCUCCCUUUCGUGCCAAUGAAAAUACCCAGAGAAAUAGACACGCUACCAUCUAGCUCCCCGAACUUGCUGCUGCUUUUCAAGAUUACAACUGGGCACAGUUGGAGCACAGACCCAAGUGAAAGGAAGCCUGAAGCACCACACCCUUGGGGUGUUGGCGUUUACCUCCUUACAGAAUGUAAAUUCCACCGGAAUGUGGUGGGUGGGUUGGAAGAACCAAAUGUUGUGUUUGUGAGCCCUGUCUUGUCCUGUAAACAUCCAGGGGCAGACUGUGACAUGUUCUAGUCCCACACUCUUCACAGCAAGUAUCGUAAAGUCAAAUCCUGUGUAUUCAUGGAAAGUAUUCUGUUUGUGUGGAAAUAAAACAAUGACUG